CACCCACGUUUUUGACGCUGCCUGGCAGCUUCUGGUGCUGCUGUGCUUACUGGGAGGAAGAGGCGGGUCCUAGAUGGCUGGCGCUUGCGCAGUCGGCCUGGUGGAGAGCAAGACGGUAUUAUCUGCUGGUGGCGGCAUGUUGUUGGCUGCCGGAAUUCUCGGCUGAUGGCAGCGUUUUCGGCAGCUGUACUGGCCCAGAGAGUGCGGGAGUGAAGACAUUUUCAUGGAUAUGAAAUUGGACACAGAGUUGACAGAGAAGUUCAGCUGCUGGGUAAUCUUCCAUUUCUGGGGACUGCUCUGCUUUCUUGUAAAACCCAGCUGUGCCUUCACCCUGGACAGGAGCAACUGAGCACGGAUGUGAAACUCACCCAGAGUGGACGCUGAAGCUCAGCUGCCGGGUGUUCUUCCAGUUCUGGAGACUGCACAGCUUCCUGCUCAAUGUCAGCUGGACCUUCUUCCGGGAGAGAAGCAACUGGUGAGCAUAUGUGGCCCCCUUAGUUGUGUCCAUGUCCUGAGUGCACAAGGGGAAGGGAAGGGAUAGCCCGUUCCCAGGGGUUGGGUGGCCGAGGCUGACAUGAUGUAGACUUCC
rnacentral:lncRNA from 1 species